CAGGGAAGGCUUUUUGGAGGAGGUGAGGUUUUUCGUUUCGGCCACACUGCAUGACAUGUGGGAUCUUAGUUCCCCUACCAGGGAUCGAACCCUGGCCUCCUACAUUGGGGGCCUGGAGUCUUAACCACUGCCAGGGAAGUCCCUGAAGGAGGAAUAAUGUUUUCUACCAUGACUGUAGUUAUUAGCAUGUGCUACAUUCCCAGGUAUCUCUGGAUCUACUUUGGAUGCAAGAUGGGAUUCUGCCAGCAGACAGCCUUUGGACUCUGCGUUUCUUCCCUGUGCCUCCCGUCUGCCAGACUACCUUGCAGAUUUUGAGUUUACCAAACCUCUACGGUCAUGUGACCCAGUUCCUUAAAGGAAAUCAAUCUUGGACUUCCUGGUGGUCCAGUGGUUAAGACUCCACACUUCCACUGC
ensembl:lncRNA